rnacentral:rRNA from 1 species
UACAGAGGUCUCAACCGUUGUUCGGAUUCAUUGGGCGUAAAGGGUGCGUAGGCGGCAAGGUAAGUCAGGUGUGAAAUCUCGGGGCUCAACCCCGAAACUGCACUUGAUACUGCCUCGCUUGAGUACUGGAGAGGAGACUGGAAUUUACGGUGUAGCAGUGAAAUGCGUAGAUAUCGUAAGGAAGACCAGUGGCGAAGGCGAGUCUCUGGACAGCAACUGACGCUGAGGCACGAAGGCCAGGGGAGCAAACGGG